ACCCUCUGGCAAUGGGCAAAGAGACACCUUGUUGGCAGUGGUGGUCUUCUGUCAGUCAGGGGCAGAGCAGAUGGCGGUCCUUUGUUCAUCCUAGCUUGAUGCCUGGCUUGGUGGCAAAGGUGUCUUAUGCCUAGGACACAUAA